rnacentral:rRNA from 1 species
CUGGGAACUGCAUUCGAAACUGGCAAGCUAGAGUAUGGGAGAGGAAAGUGGAAUUCCAGGUGUAGCGGUGAAAUGCGUAGAUAUCGGGAGGAACAUCAAUGGCGAAGGCAGCUUUCUGGACCAAUACUGACGCUGAGGGACGAAAGCGUGGGGAGCAAACAGGAUUAGAUACCCUGGUAGUCCACGCCGUAAACGAUGAGUACUAGGUGUUGGGGGAUUCGACCCCUUAGUGGCGGAGCUAACGCGUUAAGUUGCCCGCCUGGGGAGUACGGCCGCAAGGUUAAAACUCAAAGGAAUUGACGG